rnacentral:rRNA from 1 species
GUGAGGAAUAUUGGUCAAUGGGCGGGAGCCUGAACCAGCCAAGUCGCGUGAAGGAAGAAGGAUCUAUGGUUCGUAAACUUCUUUUGCAGGGGAAUAAAGUGCAGGACGUGUCCUGUUUUGUAUGUACCCUGAGAAUAAGGAUCGGCUAACUCCGUGCCAGCAGCCGCGGUAAUACGGAGGAUCCGAGCGUUAUCCGGAUUUAUUGGGUUUAAAGGGUGCGUAGGUGGUUUGAUAAGUCAGCGGUGAAAGUUUGCAGCUUAACUGUAAAAAUGCCGUUGAAACUGUCGGACUUGAGUGUAAAUGAGGUAGGCGGAAUGUGUGGUGUAGCGGUGAAAUGCAUAGAUAUCACGCAGAACUCCGAUUGCGAAGGCAGCUUACUAAGCUACAACUGACACUGAAGCACGAAAGCGUGGGGAUCAAACAGGAUUAGAUACCCCUGUAGUCC